rnacentral:rRNA from 1 species
UAGUCCACGCUGUAAACGAUGGAUACUAGGUGUAGGGGAUGUCAAAAUUUUCUGUGCCGAAGCAAACGCGAUAAGUAUCCCGCCUGGGGAGUACGGCCGCAAGGUUAAAACUCAAAGGAAUUGACGGGGCCCGCACAAGCAGCGGAGCGUGUGGUUUAAUUCGAUGAUACGCGAAGAACCUUACCUGGGUUUGACAUGUUGGUAGUAGUGAAGCGAAAGCGGAACGACCCUUCGGGGAGCCAUCACAGGUGCUGCAUGGCUGUCGUCAGCUCGCGUCGUGAGAUGUUGGGUUAAGUCCCGCAACGAGCGCAACCCUUGUCGUUAGUUAUACGUGUCUAACGAGACUGCCGGUUUCAAACCGGAGGAAGGUGGGGAUGACGUCAAGUCAGCAUGGGUCUUUAUAUCCAGGGGCUACACACACGCUACAAUGGUCAGUACAAUAGGGUUGCCACACCGCGAGGGUGGAGCUAAUCCAGAAAGCUGGGCCUC